GGGGGCGUAGCUCAGAUGGUAGAGCGCUCGCUUAGCAUGCGAGAGGUACGGGGAUCGAUACCCCGCGCUCCAA
rnacentral:tRNA from 1 species